rnacentral:rRNA from 1 species
GCCUACGGCCACACCACCCUGGACACGCCCGGUCUCGUCUGAUCUCAGAAGCUAACCAGGGUCUGUGAGCACUGGUGUCCUGGUGGAGAAGGAAUGUUGCAGGUU